AGGUGGAUUUACUCCGUAUCGCGAACUUUGGUGCAAUGGUAGUCAGGCAGACUAAAGAAUAUCAUAAAAAUGAUCUUAACAAUACCAGUGUUGAGCAUUUCAAUGCCAACCACUUUUUUGUCGGUGGGCUCACUGGAAGUGUUGAUAAUUCUGUACUCGAGGUAAACUGCGAAAGUAACUACUGUUAGUUCGAUCGAAAUUGCGCUGAAUUUGUGACAUAAGUUAUUUACAGAAUCUAUCUGGAUUUCUAGAAUGCAGAGGCACCAAGCUUCUUUGGUUGUAUUCGCGAAGUGGAGAUUCAAACAGAAUCCGUCAG